rnacentral:lncRNA from 1 species
AUCCAGUAGUGUAUAUAAAACUAAAACCGCAUAUUGGUAUUAAUGUUGGUAAAAGGGCUGUUUUCCCUGCAAUCUGAAUUAAUUCCAAGUAAAAUGGCCAUCAUCUACGUAAAGCUCAAAUCUCACAUAAAAAACAUAGUGUAGAUAAAAAUUAAGAAUCCCAAUUCAUUGCACAAAAAAGAACAUAUAAAUCUGUCAAAUGAAAAAAGCAGUUCAUGAAUAGGGUGGCCAAGUAAACCUCCCUCCACCUAUUACAUCUUCUCGAAAUAAAAUAAAUGGUCAUAGCUACAUCAUUUCCUCUUCUUAGCUGGUGGUUGGUCCUCGUCCUCNNNNN